AUUGAACGCUGGCGGCAGGCCUAACACAUGCAAGUCGAGCGAGCGGCGGACGGGUGAGUAAUGUCUGGGAAACUGCCUGAUGGAGGGGGAUAACUACUGGAAACGGUAGCUAAUACCGCAUACCAUCAGAUGUGCCCAGAUGGGAUUAGCUAGUAGGUGGGGUAACGGCUCACCUGGGCGACGAUCCCUAGCUGGUCUGAGAGGAUGACCAGCCACACUGGAACUGAGACAAGGUCCAGACUCCGACGGGAGGCAGAAGUGGGGAAUAUUGCACAAGGGGCGCAAGCCGGAUGCAGCCAUGCCGCGUGUAUGAAGAAGGCCUUCGGGUUGUAAAGUACUUUCAGCGGGGAGGCGUUACCCGCAGAAGAAGCACCGGCUAACUCCGUGCCAGCAGCCGCGGUAAUAC
rnacentral:rRNA from 1 species